GUACAUACUUACUUUAAGGGUCCCUUGGAGGUCUUUUUGUAGGCAAUAGCUAGAGAGCUAUUUUGGGUAGGUGACGUGGCCGAUCUAAAUGCGAUAGAUGAGAUUUUCGAUUGAAAUUUUUGAGAUCAGGUGGUUACACCUACCUUAUCUAUUCUAAAGCCAGCUAAAUAUCACGGACGCUUUUGAAUUUGAAAUGAGGGCGCAAGUUGAAUUAGAUCGGCUUCAAUUAAAGAGGCUCCAAUGUGGUCUAAUGGAGAUAGGUGCCGAAGGAAGGG
rnacentral:lncRNA from 1 species